rnacentral:rRNA from 1 species
UACGUAGGGGGCUAGCGUUGUCCGGAAUCAUUGGGCGUAAAGAGCGUGUAGGCUGCUCGGUAAGUCCGCUGUAAAAGUCAAAGGCUCAACCUUUGAAUGUCAGUGGAUACUGCCGGGCUAGAGUCCGGAAGAGGCGAGUGGAACUCCUGGUGUAGCGGUGGAAUGCGCAGAUAUCAGGAGGAACACCGGUGGCGAAGGCGGGUCUCUGGGCAGAAACUGACGCUGAGGAGCGAAAGCGUGGGGAGCGAACAGG